AAGUCGUAACAAGGUAACCGUAGGUGAACCUGCGGUUGGAUCAUUACUGAUAUCUUGCUGGUAGAGUUGAUACCGAAAGGAGUCCUUUGCCAGCAGAAACCCCUUGUGCACCAUAUUGUUUUUUGGGCUGUUGGCAGUGUCUUUGGCCCGCUGGCAGCCCAACAUUUGAACAAACGCUAAAAUCUGUCUGAGAUAAUCUAGUAAUAGAAACAACUUUUGACAACGGAUCUCUUGGCUCUC
rnacentral:misc_RNA from 1 species